GUAGGUGAACCUGCGGAAGGAUCAUUAAUGAAACUUCAAAGUCGGCUUUUUGUUAUCUGUGCUGGUGGAGACACAUGUGCACGUUGACAGAAAGUCGCAACAUCCACACACCUGUGCAUCUAUGACUCUGAGUACUGCUUUGCAUGGCUCCUCACCGGGCCUGGUACUCGAGUACUUUACACACUCUGAAUGUAAUGGAAUGUCU
rnacentral:misc_RNA from 1 species